rnacentral:lncRNA from 1 species
GUGCAUUAGAGUAAAACAUCAAGUAGUAAAAAAUAGAGUGAGUAUUUUUUUUUAGGUGCUUUUUAAAAGUAAACAAAGCAGUAACUUCUGCAGAUGAAGCUAACCAAGGAAGCUUGAUUAGGGAAGACCUCCCGGGAGACUGUCUUGACCCAAGCUUCAUGUAAGAUGCUGGUUGAUAGUUGAAAUCGCCUCAGCAAGGAUGAGGUCAGAUAACCAAGAUGGACCCCGUACGCCUAUUGUCACGAGUAACACUUUUGGCAAUCUCUUCAGCCGCUACAUUGCUUCUAUCAGGUAACAAGGACUAAUCCCUAACUGGGAUAGCAAAAACGUAUCUGGAAACACCAGCCACAUAUAUGGCCGGACAAACGCCACCACCGACGAACCAUUUAUCAAAACCUCCGCGAGAACGAGAGCUAUGGAUAUGAAACCACCAACUUGAGACUGGACCGGUGAAGAGAACUAAAACACCUUCCUUUCUCUAGCAUCAACCAAGAACACAAAAAAGUUGUAUUUGAGACCGUCAAACAACACUGCCGGACAAAAAAUAUGAGAAGAUGACGAAAUUGGAAUGGAGAAAAUAAACCACAUGAGAGAAAGUAGAAAAGAGCCUCCCCGGCGGUGACGAAGCCAAACCACCGGGGAAGCUAUAGAUCUAAGAACAAAGGUUUUGGCGGCUGGGAACACUUCGAAAGAAAAAAAAAUUAGGUUUAGUAAUCAACCCAUAGAG